rnacentral:misc_RNA from 1 species
AAAGUCGUAACAAGGUUUCCGUAGGUGAACCUGCGGAAGGAUCAUUACCAAUCCAAACUUACAAACCACUGUGAACUAGCUGAAGUACUUGGGUGUUCUGUUACGCAAGUAAUGGGGCGCCCAUCAGUAUUAACCACUUAAGUCAAUUUUGUUGAACUACUGUCCUCUGCUUUGCAGAAGUCAGUUACAAUCAAUAAAAUACAACUUUUAGCGGUGGAUCUCUUGGCUCAU